CAGAUGUCACCUUAAAGCCAGACACAGAAGCUGUGCAGAGCAAGCACAGCAACACCGGCCCCACGUCUCUCAGAAAGGUCAUCCUGUCAGCACUGGGGGCCCAAGAACUCCUCAACUCGCUGCACUCCUACUGCUUCUGCUCCCAGGGGAACAGGAGCACGGGUGCCACCUGUGGGAGCAGGUGGAGAAGAAUGGCGAGCUGAAGAGGGGCAGCUGCCGACAGCCAGGUGCACACGCUGCAGGAGGAGCUGGACGAGCUGAAGGGAGGGGGCUCCCUGCCUUAGCAGCCUGGUGCCCCCCGCCGAGUUUGGUGGCAGCAGUGGGAUCCAAAGGAGACAUCUGAUGGCUUAGGGGAUGAGAAACACAGGCAGUGGUACCUGCAAAACCUUUGAGUUCUCCAUCUUUGUCACUGAUUCUGAGAGCCGUGGAGUCAGCUCCAGAGUUUCAGCCAGCAGCAGAAGCAGAGCUGUGGGCAGUGGUGGAGGUAGAGCUGGCUUCAGCUCCGUUGACACCACCCCCUCUAGCACUGGAGCCAGUGUCCCCUCUACCAGCAGUGUUGGAGGUGGAGCAAGGGCCAACAUGGGCUCCAGCAGGAGUGGGAGCUGCUGAGUUGGAGUCACCUGGACCAUCAUUUCUAGUGGGAAGUCCAUCUCCACCUGUGGCUAAGAAGUGUGAGAAGAAGCCCAACCUACGGCCUUCCCUCCUAAGCUGGUGGUGGAGCAGUUGAUCGUGAUGGAUGCAAGCGUAGAGGUGGACACUAACAGGACCUGCUGCACAGAGUGGCUGUGCCGGCUCCUUGAAGAGAAGGAAGGGUGAGCAGGGCCUGGCACAUCAGUAGUGGAGGGGAACUCACUGUAUGCAGCCAGGUCCCUGGUGGCCCAACCGUCUGCUCAGGAAGCUCAACAGCCUCAGGACUUAUUAGACACCUGAUGUGUACUCCACUACAAGGGAGACAGACAAGGCCCGUGGUUGUAGCUGCCAGGGGAGAAUGUGCAUCAGAAUGGGGAGUGUGACCAGAGGGGGAUCAGUGUGUUGGAAGAUGCCCCCUUGGGAUGAGCCGAGGUGAGCCACCAUCUGGAGCUUGGAGUUAGCCAGGACGGGCUGGAUGCAAAUGUCCCUCUCCCUUCCCUGCCAGUAUUGGGUCCUGGGUCAUCCUCUGUGUACCCUCAGUGGA